CACCAAGCCUUCGAUGGAUAGGGGUUCUGAGAGGAAGGUCCCCCACAUUGGAACUGAGACACGGUCCAAACUCCUACGGGAGGCAGCAGUGAGGAAUAUUGGUCAAUGGGCGCGAGCCUGAACCAGCCAAGUAGCGUGAAGGAUGACUGCCCUAUGGGUUGUAAACUUCUUUUAUAUUAGAAUAAAGUGCAGUAUGUAUACUGUUUUGUAUGUAUAAUAUGAAUAAGGAUCGGCUAACUCCGUGCCAGCAGCCGCGGUAAUACGGAGGAUCCGAGCGUUAUCCGGAUUUAUUGGGUUUAAAGGGAGCGUAGGUGGACUGGUAAGUCAGUUGUGAAAGUUUGCGGCUCAACCGUAAAAUUGCAGUUGAUACUGUCAGUCUUGAGUACAGUAGAGGUGGGCGGAAUUCGUGGUGUAGCGGUGAAAUGCUUAGAUAUCACGAAGAACUCCGAUUGCGAAGGCAGCUCACUGGACUGCAACUGACACUGAUGCUCGAAAGUGUGGGUAUCAAACAGGAUUAGAUACCCUGGUAGUCCACACAGUAAACGAUGAAUACUCGCUGUUUGCGAUAUACAGUAAGCGGCCAAGCGAAAGCAUUAAGUAUUCCACCUGGGGAGUACGCCGGCAACGGUGAAACUCAAAGGAAUUGACGGGGGCCCGCACAAGCGGAGGAACAUGUGGUUUAAUUCGAUGAUACGCGAGGAACCUUACCCGGGCUUAAAUUGCAGUGGAAUGAUGUGGAAACAUGUCAGUGAGCAAUCACCGCUGUGAAGGUGCUGCAUGGUUGUCGUCAGCUCGUGCCGUGAGGUGUCGGCUUAAGUGCCAUAACGAGCGCAACCCUUAUCUUCAGUUACUAACAGGUCAUGCUGAGGACUCUGGAGAGACUGCCGUCGUAAGAUGUGAGGAAGGUGGGGAUGACGUCAAAUCAGCACGGCCCUUACGUCCGGGGCUACACACGUGUUACAAUGGGGGGUACAGAAGGCAGCUACCUGGUGACAGGAUGCUAAUCCCAAAAGCCUCUCUCAGUUCGGAUCGAAGUCUGCAACCCGACUUCGUGAAGCUGGAUUCGCUAGUAAUCGCGCAUCAGCCACGGCGCGGUGAAUACGUUCCCGGGCCUUGUACACACCGCCCGUCAAGCCAUGGGAGCCGGGGGUACCUGAAGUACGUAACCGCAAGGA
rnacentral:rRNA from 1 species